UGCCAGCCGCCGCGGUAAUACGGAGGGUGCGAGCGUUAAUCGGAAUUACUGGGCGUAAAGCGCGUGUAGGCGGUUCGUUAAGUCUGAUGUGAAAGCCCGGGGCUCAACCCCGGAAGUGCGUUGGAUACUGGCAGUCUUGAGUAUGGGAGAGGAAAGUGGAAUUCCGAGUGUAGGAGUGAAAUCCGUAGAUAUUCGGAGGAACACCAGUGGCGAAGGCGGCUAACUGGCUCGGUACUGACGCUGAGAUGCGAAAGCGUGGGGAGCAAACAGGAUUAGAUA
rnacentral:rRNA from 1 species